rnacentral:lncRNA from 1 species
GAACUUGUCCAAGUCUCUUAAAUUUUAAAAUGAAGAUAUUUGCAGAGGUAUGGAAUAGAAUAAAAGGCCUGCUGAGGGAUUUGAACCCAAACUUCAGUAACUCUGCUUCCGUCUCUGACCUAUUGUAUUCCUAGUGCAUGAAAUGAGGGAGGCCGGGGCAAUUCCACACUUCUCAUUCUGACUCAGAUUUGUUCCCGUGUCCUCAAUGAACCAACACAGCUGCAAACUAACCAAAUUAGAAAGAAACAACUGAGGAGCAACUCACAAGGUUAACUGAUCUGGAAGAGGGAUUUCUGGGCACCGCAAGUUCCAGAUGAGGACAACAUCUGCAGAACUCAGUGUCAUAAAAAUGAUGCUGCAUCUAUGGUAAGAAGGAUUUUGAUAGACAUCAAAUCGUGGGGAUACUUUCAUGGUGGCACUGCGAUCACACAUGCAAUGCUAAUGAGAAAUAUGAAAAUACAUGGUGGCAAAUCAAUAAACCUGCAAAUGUUCUGUGGCUGGGAAUUCUUGUAGGGCUCUAAGAAGAAUUAAGAACUUCUGUCUGACACUGUAGAGUUCAUUCAAACUCAUAUUCAGCAGAAAAAAGAAGAGCCACAUAAGAGGUCAAUGGGAGCAGGGGGAAGGCAAAGAAAAAAAAAAAAAAAAAAAGAAAAAGAAAAGAGGAGAUUGUAGCUAUUUCUGAAGAAGAGGGUAUGAGGAUAGACACUUCCUCCAGAAUUACUGUUUGGUAGCAUUGGUUUUGGAUGUUUAAAUUGCUGUCCCGUUGUUUUAAACUGUUGCCAUUAAAAGUCAGAUUAAAUC